rnacentral:tRNA from 1 species
UUGGUAGAAGCUUUGUAGAAGCGUAGGUUUUUUGAAUUUAUAAAGGGUCUAGUUUAAAGUAACCCCUACCAAG